rnacentral:rRNA from 1 species
GAUGAACGCUGGCGGCGUGCCUAAUACAUGCAAGUCGAGCGAACAGAUGAGGAGCUUGCUCCUCUGACGUUAGCGGCGGACGGGUGAGUAACACGUGGAUAACCUACCUAUAAGACUGGGAUAACUUCGGGAAACCGGAGCUAAUACCGGAUAAUAUAUUGAACCGCAUGGUUCAAUAGUGAAAGACGGUUUUGCUGUCACUUCUAGAUGGAUCCGCGCCGCAUUAGCUAGUUGGUAAGGUAACGGCUUAUCAAGGCAACGAUGCGUAGCCGACCUGAGCGGGUGAUCGGCCACACUGGAACUGAGACACGGUCCAGACUCCUACGGGAGGCAGCAGUAGGGAAUCUUCCGCAAUGGGCGAAAGCCUGACGGAGCAACGCCGCGUGAGUGAUGAAGGUCUUCGGAUCGUAAAACUCUGUUAUUAGGGAAGAACAAAUGUGUAAGUAACUAUGCACGUCUUGACGGUACCUAAUCAGAAAGCCACGGCUAACUACGUG